rnacentral:rRNA from 1 species
UUCGCAAUGCCCGAAAGGGUGACGAUGCGACGCCGCGUGAGCGAAGAAGGCCCUAGGGUUGUAAAGCUCUGUCGAGGGUUAUGAAAUGUAAACAGGUUAAUACCCUGUUUAUUUGACAAAAGCCCAAGAGGAAGUCACGGCUAACUCUGUGCCAGCAGCCGCGGUAAUACAGAGGUGGCAAGCGUUGUUCGGUAUUAUUGGGCGUAAAGAGCACGUAGGUGGUUUUGUAAGUCAGGUGUGAAAGCCUUCUGUUCAAAGGAAGAACGGCAUCUGAAACUGCAGAUCUUGAGUGUAGGAGGGGAGAGUGGAACUUCUGGUGGAGCGGUGAAAUGCGUAGAUAUCAGAAGGAACGUCGGCGGCGAAAGCGACUCUCUGGCCUAUUACUGACACUGAGGUGCGAAAGUUAGGGGAGCAAACGGGAUUAGAUACCCCGGUAGUCCUAACCGUAAACGAUGGGCACUAAGUAGAGGGGUUUU